rnacentral:rRNA from 1 species
AGACCCGAAACCCGGUGAUCUAGCCAUGGGCAGGUUGAAGGUUGGGUAACACUAACUGGAGGACCGAACCGACUAAUGUUGAAAAAUUAGCGGAUGACCUGUGGCUGGGGGUGAAAGGCCAAUCAAACCGGGAGAUAGCUGGUUCUCCCCGAAAGCUAUUUAGGUAGCGCCUCGUGAAUUCAUCUCCGGGGGUAGAGCACUGUUUCGGCUAGGGGGCCAUCCCGGCUUACCAACCCGAUGCAAACUGCGAAUACCGGAGAAUGUUAUCACGGGAGACACACGGCGGGUGCUAACGUCCGUCGUGAAGAGGGAAACAACCCAGACCGCCAGCUAAGGUCCCAAAGUCAUGGUUAAGUGGGAAACGAUGUGGGAAGGCCCAGACAGCCAGGAUGUUGGCUUAGAAGCAGCCAUCAUUUAAAGAAAGCGUAAUAGCUCACUGGUCGAGUCGGCCUGCGCGGAAGAUGUAACGGGGCUAAACCAUGCACCGAAGCUGCGGCAGCGAACGUAUCACCCAAGACAACUUUACGGAGUUGACGAUUGACGGAGCGAAGCGACGUCAAAGCGUUCAUUAAAGUCGAGUUGGCUUAGGGAUACGUUCGUUGGGUAGGGGAGCGUUCUGUAAGCCUGUGAAGGUGUGUCGUGAGGCAUGCUGGAGGUAUCAGAAGUGCGAAUGCUGACAUAAGUAACGAUAAAGCGGGUGAAAAGCCCGCUCGCCGGAAGACCAAGGGUUCCUGUCCAACGUUAAUCGGGGCAGGGUGAGUCGACCCCUAAGGCGAGGCCGAAAGGCGUAGUCGAUGGGAAACGGGUUAAUAUUCCCGUACUUGGUGUUACUGCGAAGGGGGGACGGAGAAGGCUAUGUUGGCCGGGCGACGGUUGUCCCGGUUUAAGCGUGUAGGUGUGUGUUCCAGGUAAAUCCGGUUCACUUUAACACUGAGGCGUGAUGACGAGGCACUACGGUGCUGAAGCAACAAAUGCCCUGCUUCCAGGAAAAGCCUCUAAGCAUCAGGUAACAUCAAAUCGUACCCCAAACCGACACAGGUGGUCAGGUAGAGAAUACCAAGGCGCUUGAGAGAACUCGGGUGAAGGAACUAGGCAAAAUGGUGCCGUAACUUCGGGAGAAGGCACGCUGACACGUAGGUGAAGUGAUUUACUCACGGAGCUGAAGUCAGUCGAAGAUACCAGCUGGCUGCAACUGUUUAUUAAAAACACAGCACUGUGCAAA